rnacentral:rRNA from 1 species
CAGCMGCCGCGGUAAUWCAGAGGGUGCAAGCGUUAAUCGGAUUUACUGGGCGUAAAGCGCGCGUAGGUNGCCAAUUAAGUCAAAUGUGAAAUCCCCGAGCUUAACUUGGGAAUUGCAUUCGAUACUGGUUGGCUAGAGUAUGGGAGAGGAUGGUACAAUUCCAGGUGUAGCGGUGAAAUGCGUAGAGAUCUGGANGAAUACCGAUNGCNAANNCNNCCAUCUGGCCUAAUACUGACACUGAGGUGCGAAAGCAUGGGGAGCAAACAGGAUUAGAUACCCUGGUAGUCCAUGCCGCAAACGAUGUCUACUAGCCGUUGGGGCCUUUGAGGCUUUAGUGGCGCAGCUAACGCGAUAAGUAGACCGCCUGGGGAGUACNGUCGCAAGACUAAAACUCAAAUGAAUUGACNGGGGCCCGCACAAGCGGUGGAGCAUGUGGUUUAAUUCGAUGCAACGCGAAGAACCUUACCUGGUCUUGACAUAGUAAGAACUUUCCAGAGAUNGAUNNNNGCCUUCGGGAACUUACAUACAGGUNCUGCAUNNCNNNCGUCAGCUCGUGUCGUGAGAUGUUGGGUUAANUCCCGCAACGAGNNCAACCCUUUUCCUUAUUUGCCAGCGGGUUAAGCCGGGAACUUUAAGGAUACUGCCAGUGACAAACUGGAGGAAGGCGGGGACGACGUCAAGUGAUCAUGGCCCUUACGACCAGGGCUACACACGUGCUACAAUGGUNGGUACAAANNGUUGCUACCUCGCGAGAAGAUGCUAAUCUCAAAAAGCCGAUCGUAGUCCGGAUUGGAGUCUGCAACUCGACUCCAUGAAGUCGGAAUCGCUAGUAAUCGCGGAUCAGAAUGCCGCGGUGAAUACNUUCCCGGGCCUUGYACACACCGCCCGUC